UAGUCCACGCCGUAAACGAUGUCAACUAGCCGUUUGUGUCCUUGAGACGUGAGUGGCGCAGCUAACGCACUAAGUUGACCGCCUGGGGAGUACGGCCGCAAGGUUAAAACUCAAAUGAAUUGACGGGGGCCCGCACAAGCGGUGGAGCAUGUGGUUUAAUUCGAUGCAACGCGAAGAACCUUACCUACUCUUGACAUCUAGAGAAGCUUGCAGAGAUGCGAGUGUGCCUUCGGGAACUCUAAGACAGGUGCUGCAUGGCUGUCGUCAGCUCGUGUUGUGAAAUGUUGGGUUAAGUCCCGCAACGAGCGCAACCCUUAUCCUUGUUUGCCAGCACGUAAUGGCGGGAACUCCAGGGAGACUGCCGGUGAUAAACCGGAGGAAGGUGGGGCGACGUCAAGUCAUCAUGGCCCUUACGAGUAGGGCUACACACGUGCUACAAUGGUGCAUACAGAGGGCAGCGAGACCGCGAGGUGGAGCGAAUCCCAGAAAGUGC
rnacentral:rRNA from 1 species